CUCCACCCGAGACUCAGUGAAAUUGAAAUCGCUGUGAAGAUGCAGUGUACCCGCGGCUAGACGGAAAGACCCCGUGAACCUUUACUACAGCUUGGCACUGAACAUUGACCCUACAUGUGUAGGAUAGGUGGGAGGCUUUGAAGCACGUACGCCAGUAUGUGUGGAGCCGUCCUUGAAAUACCACCCUUGUAGUGUUGAUGUUCUAACGUCGACCCCUAAUCGGGGUUGCGGACAGUGCCUGGUGGGUAGUUUGACUGGGGCGGUCUCCUCCCAAAGAGUAACGGAGGAGCACGAAGGUGGGCUAAUCACGGUUGGACAUCGUGAGGUUAGUGCAAUGGCAUAAGCCCGCUUGACUGCGAGAAUGACAAUUCGAGCAGGUGCGAAAGCAGGUCAUAGUGAUCCGGUGGUUCUGAAUGGAAGGGCCAUCGCUCAACGGAUAAAAGGUACUCCGGGGAUAACAGGCUGAUACCGCCCAAGAGUUCAUAUCGACGGCGGUGUUUGGCACCUCGAUGUCGGCUCAUCACAUCCUGGGGCUGAAGUCGGUCCCAAGGGUAUGGCUGUUCGCCAUUUAAAGUGGUACGCGAGCUGGGUUUAGAACGUCGUGAGACAGUUCGGUCCCUAUCUGCCGUGGGCGUUGGAAGAUUGAAGGGGGCUGCUCCUAGUACGAGAGGACCGGAGUGGACGAACCUCUGGUGUUCGGGUUGUGUCGCCAGACGCAUUGCCCGGUAGCUAAGUUCGGAAUCGAUAACCGCUGAAAGCAUCUAAGCGGGAAGCGAGCCCUGAGAUGAGUCUUCCCUGAUACUUUAAGUAUCCUAAAGGGUUGUCGGAGACUACGACGUUGAUAGGUCAGGUGUGUAAGUGCUGUGAGGCAUUGAGCUAACUGAUACUAAUUGCCCGUGAGGCUUAACCAU
rnacentral:rRNA from 1 species